CAGUAGCCGCGGGAAAACGAAGGGGGCUAGCGUUGUUCGGAAUUACUGGGCGUAAAGCGCACGUAGGCGGAUAUUUAAGUCAGGGGUGAGAUCCCGCAGCUCAACUGCGGAACUGCCUUUGAUACUGGGUAUCUUGAGUAUGGAAGAGGUUAGUGGAAUUGCGAGUGUAGAGGUGAAAUUCGUAGAUAUUCGCAGGAACACCAGUGGCGAAGGCGGCUAACUGGUCCAUAACUGACGCUGAGGUGCGAAAGCGUGGGGAGCAAACAGGAUUAGAUACCCCUGUAGUCCCUGUCUCUUAUAA
rnacentral:rRNA from 1 species